ACAAGAGUAGAUGCAGAAAAGAUUCAUCAGGAUGUAGCCCGGGCUGAGGCGAUUCAGCUAGGAAGAGAGGCUCAAUAGGCUGAAGUUGUUUUCCUGACAGCAGGUAAAGCCGACGUCGGAUGUGACUGCAGUGUGUAAUUCCAAGGAGCAUCAAGAGGGGAGAUAGCAGAAACCUUUUCCCUUAACAGAGGGGUCAUUCACCAGAAGGCACAGUUUUAAGAUUUUUUAUUCAUUCAUGAGAUGAGAGCAUCGCUGGCGAGGCAGCAUUUAUUGCCAAUCCCCAAUUGCCCAGAGGGCAGUUCAAGGUCAACCACAUUGCUGUGGAUCUGGAUUCACGUGUAAGCACAGACCAGAUCUGCUGAGGCUUCUGCAUGAGGCUGCUCCCCCAAUCAUGAGUAGAACUUCGCCUUGGAAUUCAGCAUGCCUGAAUGAGGCCAUGUGGAGUAAUCAAGAAGAUGAGGCCGGAGGAGAAAGGGAAAGGAACUCUCAGGGAACUGUGUCCUUCCCAAUCUCAGUGACAGCAAGGCAAGGACAGUUCUUUUCAUUCUUCCAUGGAUAUGGGUAUCAUUGGAUUUGCAGUUUUGUUUUUUACUUCUGUCUUUCCCUGCCUCAUGUAACCAGUUAGCCAACCACACAAUCAUGGGUCAGAUGACUUUCAUGCUCACAGGCAUGAACUACAAUAAAAUACAGCAACAUUCUGUUUAGGGGGCAUCAAGCUGAAGCCUUGCCUGGGAUUUUACGAGGCCUCAAGGAACAGAAUGUCACACUGGGAGGCUGGCUGCUCCACCAAAGAGAUCCAAUCCUAUUUUUUCUUUUACUGCCAUGAAGAGGAGCAGACAACUGGCUGAUCUCCUGCCCUUGUGAAAUAAGAUGGCUUGGGACAGAUAGUGCAGCCAUUCCACUGAGCUCUUGUCUCAUUCGUCCAUCCCAUUUUCAGUAAUUGUCAUUGAAUAUGUGUACAAAACAUAAGCCUGAGCAUCAGUUGCUAUAGCCCUUCAAUUGAAGAUGUAGUAAUAGCUAAAUAAAUUUAUUAUUAAUAUAGCCUGCAAACAAGGUUGCAUGUAUGCUCAGCAUUAACCAUGAACUGCCAGGCUGAACUACAUCAGAAGAGGAACACAUGAAAUUUGAGCUCUUGGACAAUCAGGACUCUGGCUAAACUAAGCAUUGUUUGGCAGAAUUAUCGGGGAGCCAUAAAAAUCCACUUUAGGUUUUCCUGGUUCUAUGUUCAGACAAUUUAUAAACGAAUUUAGUUUUAGAACUUAAAGAUCACGAAAUUAAGGUGUUUGGCUCUUGAUGUUUACUCCAUCUAUAUGGACCAUCCUUGCAAUAUUUUUAAUUAUUUAACUUAACUGUGUUCUGUACUUUCCGAUGAAGUGUUUAACCUUCAUAGAACCAGUACGUAAAUAAGAACUAUUCAAAAAUAUGUGAUUAAGUACAAGUAGUCAGUGCGUCAGUGUCAGUUCUGUAUAUAAAGUUGUAUGCAUAUUGUUAAGUUUAAUGCCUGGUACAGCAGACCUUAGUACUAGAUGAGUCAGUGUUUUAUUGCCUAAUGUCCCACUUAGUACAUCACAGUGGAUUUGUUCUUUAAAAUUAACUAAUUAAGGGGGCACCUGAUAUUGUGCAAUAGAACAGUAGUUCCACUUCUAAAAUACUCCAUUGACUGUAAUGCACGAGGCCAUCCUGAGGUCAUGAAGGGUGUUAUAUCAAUGCAAGACUUUUUUAAUACAAUGGCAAUUGAACCACAAAAUUCUAGACAACACAUGUCCUCUCCGCUACUCAUGACUUGUGUCAUGUAUAAAGGUGUGAGGGAUGUUGAACAAUUACUGUAUGUACCAUGUUAUUUGCAUUAGAUCAACAUAUGCUUAAGAUUCAAGGAGACUUGGAUGACAGCUAUUAGGUUCCUUUAACUAGUAUAUAACCAAAUUUUGCAUUAAUAGUCUGUGUUUUCAUAGAGUUCAUUGAUCAAUUAGCUGACAGACUUGACAGCUUCCCAUAAUAAAAUCUCUCUAAACCCUUCAGAUACAAAAAUGUCAAAGUGGGCAAGCCAAGAAAAGAAGUACAAGUGAAAAAAAAAUGGGCUGCCUCGGCUUCAAAAUUAUGAAAAGCCUCAGAAACAAAUACUUGAUCACCUAAAACAGAACAAUGGCUUGUAAGAGAGAGAUAAUGGGAACUGCAGAUGCUCGAGAA